rnacentral:lncRNA from 8 species
AUGUUCUCCAAUAUGUCCAAACCUGUCAUUGGCCCAGCACUAUCCCAGGUGCUAGAUGUGAUUGGAGAGAUCCGGGUCAACAGACUGACUGAGGAUCAGCUGAGAGACAUUGAUGUCAUCAGGAAGUGGUUCUCUGGGCGUCUGAGACUGUUCCUGCCGUCUGCAUCAGGAGCGUUUCUGCACUGCCUCAGCACCAAGAACCUGAGCUGUGACACGUAUCAACAGAUACUGAGGGAGUUCAGCAAUCAAUUCGACCAAAUGGACCAGAUGAGACAAGAGCUGGUGGUCAAAUACUUCAUCCAGCCCUUCCUGACCAAAAACUCCUCAGACUCUGGCUGUGUGUCCAACUCUAACAGCAGUGUGGACUGGCUGCAGAAGAACUUGGGGCCAUUCUCAGUUCUUGUGUCCCUCAGGGACCUGCUAGAAUUCAACACAGACUUCUCUCCUUUGUCAGUCCUGGAGGUUCUCUCUCCAAAGCAGACAGCAGAGCUGCUGGUGUUGCCUCUUCCUGGUCUUCCAGGGAAAGCUGUCAUCAUCAACACAGUGUUUGACUACCUGUCUAUGUCACCAAAGGAGAGGAAACUCCCUGAGUUCCUGUACUACCUCGUCAGGCUCUCUGAAGAGAUGAUGCUACCAUGCGAUAGCUUUAAGACCAUCUUUGAGCGUCUGUACCAGGCCUUACCGUCUGUACCUCCAGAGAUGGAACCAGUCAUUCAGGCCAUUAUAGACAACCUGAUGCAGACCGCUCCAGCAGAUUGCUUGCCGAUGAAUAUGAAGUGUCCAAUAACACCAGCGAACGAUAGCAGAGUCUGUGAAGGAAAUGCCAGUGAUUCACUACAAAGUUAUUUGGCGACAUCAAAUACAGCGAACGUGCCCUGUAACUUUUCCCUGGAGGAGUAUGCCUGUGCAUCGCUGACAAACUUCACUGCAGAACACCUGGUGUCUCUUCUGAAAUGUAAACUGCCUGGCAACUCCUCUCACUCUAAAGAGACCUGGAAGGUUCUCCUCACCAAACUGACCUCUGUCUUAGACCAAGCUCUGGACAUGUUCUCCAAUAUGUCCAAACCUGUGAUUGGCCCUGCAGUAUCCCAGGCACUGGAUGUGAUUGGAGAGAUCCGGGUCAACAGGCUGACUGACGAUCAGUUGAGAGACAGUGAUGUCAUCAGGAAGUGGUUCUCUGGGCGUCUGAGACUGUUCCUGCCGUCUGCAUCAGGAGGGUUUCUGCACUGCCUCAGCACCAAGAACCUCAGCUGUGACACGUAUCAACAGAUACUGAGGGAGUUCAGCAAUCAAUUUGACCAAAUGGACCAGAAGAGACAAGAGCUGGUGGUCAAAUACUUCAUCCAGCCCUUCCUGACCAAAAACUCCUCAGACUCUGGCUGUGUGUCCAACUCUAACAGCAGUGUGGACUGGCUGCAGAAGAACUUGGGGCGGUUUUCAGUCCUGCUGUCCCUUAGCGACCUGUUGAAACUCAACACAGACUUCUCUCCGUUGUCAGCCCUGGAGGUUCUCUCUCCAAAGCAGACUGCAGAGCUGGUGGUGUUGCCUCUUCCUGGUCUUCCAGGGAAAGAUGUCAUCAUCAACACAGUGUUUGACUACCUGUCUAAGUCACCAAGGGAGAGGAAACUCCCUGAGUUCUUGUACCACCUCUCCAGGCUGUCUGUGGUGACUCCAGUCGGCUGCCCAGUUUACCAGACCAUUUUUGUGAGGCUGUACCAAGCCAUGUCAGCAUUGCCUCAAGAGAUGGAGCCAAUCAUCUGGGCCAGUGUUUAUGACCUCACAGAAUCUGCACCAAUGGGUGAGUCAGGUGCACUGUCUUUUUCUCGAAUCAGAUUCCAGAUAUAAUUUGUUUUAUUUUUUUACUCAAUUUAAUCUCUAUGUAUUUUGUUUUCAUGUGAACAGAUUGUGCUCUGGUACCAGUUAACCAACAGGUAAGUCAGUUCAUGUCUCAUUAAAAUGUUUCAAGAUUGUGAAAGAACAUUGUUCUUUAUGCUUCUUAUAUUACCCUGAACUUACAAUAGGGGGAAUGGACAACCGUGUGACUAGUCUAAGAGACUUUCCUUAAUGAUUAUUUUGUGUCUCUUGUUUUCCAGUGUCCAGUGUCAUCGCACAAUGGUAAAUUAAGUUUAGUAAACAACACCUUGAUACUGUACCCUACCCUAAUCUUUAUCCUAGAACUGCACAUUUAAUCCAAUAUCAAACGCCCUGUUUUCUUUUUUUAAAAUCUCUCUCAGCAACAAGAAUCUGUGCCAGUGUUGACAGGUACAGUAAGACGUUAUUCAGACUAGACUAGGGUUGCAAAAUUCUUGUAACUGUCCCAAAAUUCAUAUAUAUAUAUAAUUUUUUUUCCUGGUUGGAGGAUUUCAAGAAUAAGGAGGAAAUAAUCAAGUUAUCUGGAAUCUUCCAACCUGUUUUUCUGAAAAACUGGGCAUUUUGGGAAACUCCCCUGAAGUUUGCAAA